UGUAUAGCGGCGGACGGGUGAGUAACACGUGGGUAACCUGCCUGUAAGACUGGGAUAACUCCGGGAAACCGGGGCUAAUACCGGAUGGUUGUUUGAACCGCAUGGUUCAAACAUAAAAGGUGGCUUCGGCUACCACUUACAGAUGGACCCGCGGCGCAUUAGCUAGUUGGUGAGGUAACGGCUCACCAAGGCAACGAUGCGUAGCCGACCUGAGAGGGUGAUCGGCCACACUGGGACUGAGACACGGCCCAGACUCCUACGGGAGGCAGCAGUAGGGAAUCUUCCGCAAUGGACGAAAGUCUGACGGAGCAACGCCGCGUGAGUGAUGAAGGUUUUCGGAUCGUAAAGCUCUGUUGUUAGGGAAGAACAAGUACCGUUCGAAUAGGGCGGUACCUUGACGGUACCUAACCAGAAAGCCACGGCUAACUACGUGCCAGCAGCCGCGGUAAUACGUAGGUGGCAAGCGUUGUCCGGAAUUAUUGGGCGUAAAGGGC
rnacentral:rRNA from 1 species